rnacentral:rRNA from 1 species
UCCCUAUGGGGCGCACCAGGCGCGAAAACUUUACAAUGCUGGCAACAGCGAUAAGGGAACCUCGAGUGCCAGGUUACAAAUCUGGCUGUCGAGAUGCCUAAAAAGCAUUUCAUAGCAAGGGCCGGGCAAGACCGGUGCCAGCCGCCGCGGUAAUACA